UUGUGUUUUACAUGAGUAUUUUUUUUAAUGAGUUAAUUUAUGUACAACUGUCAACUGAUUGUGUAGUAUGUUUGUUGCUAAGUGUGUCUACAAUCUAUGGAACUUUAUGAGAUGGAAUCCUUUGCGAAUAGGAGAAGGAUGUUCUCCUAUAAUACUGCCUCAUUCUUCGCAAAUUCAAAUUGAUAUUUUUGCUGUUUAGGUACUUUUAGCUUAAAGAUUUUGUUGAAGCAAAUACUACUUCUAUGAGUAUACUUAUAGCAUUUUUUUUGCAUUGCAACAGAUAUUCAUGUCAAUUCUGUAUUAUAUUUCACAUCCAUUCAAUACUAUUUAAUACUCAUCUGAUUGUUGUAAUUCUUUAGCUUUAAGUUGGGGGCAUUUUAUUUUGAUUUUGUAGGAGCAUGCUGUAAGAUUUCAGUUGCUUCAAUUUUCAGUUGAUAUCAUCUUUGUCAGCCUGCUUUGUGUAAUUAAGAUUUUGUUGAAACUUAGUGAGUUGCAAAUUUGAUAGAACUUCUUUCACGAGAUUUUACUUUUAUAACUUUUUCUGCUUGCCCAUUUGAAUACUUAAAACCAUUUUCCUAUUUGCUUCAUCACUGCUUGUUUUGUUUUAUCUAGUGACAUUUAUAUUUAGUUUCUUUGUGGUUGUUAUAGCUCUGAUUUAUCUAGUAUAUUUGUAUUACUUUUACAGGUUCCUUUUACUCUUGUUCAAAGGUGGUCUGAUUAUUCGUCUGAUUAUCUUGUUGUGGACAUGCAUGGCUCUAAAGAUCUUCGUACAUUUAUUCGGGCAAUUAACACAAUUGUUGGUUGUAGGUGACCUAUAAGAUCAGAUGUUGUGAAGUUUAAAGUUUCUUGUACAUUUCUUGAAGGAAUUAAGACAAAUUGUGGUUAUGGGUGGCCUGUAAAGUCAGAUAUUGUCAAGCCUAAAUUUGAUUAAUGGGAUUUUCUCUUUCUUAUUUGUUCAUUUUUAUUACUAAUGUAUGACAUUCUACUUUGUUUGCUUGUUGAAGGUUGGUUUGAUUGGUUCUGAGGAAAUUCUUCGAGUGGGAAAAAAUAUCAAUGCCAUUGGUAGCGGUUUCAAAAAUGUAAUCCUUGAGAUCCAGUCAGACAAUGAUCUUCCCUAUUUUUUGACUAAGAUGACUAAGGAUCAGAUGGUAGCAGAUCUUGCCUAACGGUCAAAAGCAAACUUCUGGGAGGUGGUUUGCAACAACCGAUCCAAGCUCUCAGAUGAUGCCAAUGCUGGACACAAGCAACUCUGUUUGAUCUGCUUCAUGAAGACGAGGACUCGUGCAUUUGGAUGUGGGCAUUACGUUUCUUGCCAUCAAUGUGCCAUCGUAGCAAUUGAAAAUGAACAUGAGUGUAUCACUUGUCACAUGCCAAUCCAUAGAGUUUGGUAAGAUUCAAUGCGCCUAUAAUAAAUAUGCUUCAUUGAUAGCUCUUGAAAGCUCCAGGAAGUGAUAUUGUUAUUAAUCUUUGUCAACAAGUAAUUUGGAGCAGCUGAUUACUACUUUGACAAAGUUACAAACAUGCCGUUGUUGGAUGGUCAAUCUUUUCUUUCUAAAUAAAUAGCUUU